UCGAGGUUCGACGGUAUCGAUAAGCUUGCCAUGGGCCUACGGGAGGCAGCAGCAAGGAAUUUUCCACAAUGGGCGCAAGCUGAUGGAGCAACGCCGCGUGGGGGAUGACGCACUUCGGUGUGUAAACCCCUUUUCGAGGGGACGAAGGCAAUGACGGUACCCUCGGAAUAAGGAUCGGCUAACUACGUGCCAGCAGCCGCGGUAAGACGUAGGAUCCGAGCGUUGUCCGGAGUUACUGGGCGUAAAGCGCGCGCAGGCGGACACGCGCAUCGGCGGUGAAAGCCCCCCGCUCAACGGGGGAGGGUCCGUCGAGAUGGCGUGUCUGGAGGCAGGGAGAGGCCAGUGGAAUUCCGGGUGUAGUGGUGAAAUGCGUAGAGAUCCGGAGGAACACCAGUGGCGAAGGCGGCUGGCUGGACCUGACCUGACGCUGAGGCGCGAAGGCGUGGGGAGCGAACGGGAUUAGAUACCCCGGUAGUCCACGCAGUAAACGAUGGGUACUAGGUGUGGCGGGAGUUGACCCUGCCGUGCCGGCGCUAACGCAGUAAGUACCCGCCUGGGGAGUACGGCCGCAAGCU
rnacentral:rRNA from 1 species